GCGACAGUCCGGAACCGGCGGGAAACGAAGGCGGAGCAGGGGCCGGACAGCCCUGAGCCCAGUCCUGGCCCCGCCAGGUCUCUGACCGACUGGGAGCCUGUGGACACCACCGCGCUCCCCUCGCGUGAGCUCGGGCUCAGUGACGCCGCAGGGUGCGUUCUGGGACUUGAAGGAAUGCCUCUUAUUAAAUACCCGAUUGCUUGUACCAUUUAUGGGUCAAAUUUAAGUGGAAGCCCACCUACCAACACUGCCUCCUGAAAUGAAACACAGCUGUUUAACUGGACUGACCUAGUAGUAAGACUAAGAGACUGAUUCAAUAAGAUAAGGGAUGAUGUAAUUAGGUUUGUUCUUUUCUGCUUAUUCCAAUUUGUAUUUCUUUCUUUUUUGCUGAUCUCUUACCUCACAACAAUUCAACAACUCAAGACUCUCUACAGCAACCAACUGAGACUUUAAUAUGUGAAACUUUAUGAAGAUAAAGUUUCAAAUAAGGAACUUAAGGAAACAAGAAUGUCACCCCAAAAUAUGCCUCUUUGACAUAAAAAUUAUUUUGAAUGGAAGGCAAUUAAGAAGCAUCAAAGCCAAAAAAAAAAAAAAAAAAAAAAAUCCAGCUGUGCCUUUCCUCCUAAAGGCAGUAUAUGAAUUCUUCUUUUGCUGGAGGUAGACUUAUCAGCUCAGAGAUGGCAUCAGAGAAAUCAGCAAACAAACCGUACUCUAUUAGGUCUCCUUGCAUGUAUUUACCCUCCCCCAGAUUCCUGCCCUUGGAAUCCUAAACCCACUUUCCUUUGUCCUACCAUUUCUGUACAGAUUUACUAUUUCUUGUUGAAGAUGUUAUAUAAGCCACAGUUCUAAGCAGGUAUCUAUCCAUCCUCAGGGCAGGUGCUUCAGGGAAAUUGACCUCACCUACCGCUCCAGAGAUAGUCCUAAUUCGUCCAAGAUAAGCAAUAUCAACAUUACUUGGGAACUUGUUAGAAAUGCAGAUUACCAGGCCCUGUGCCAGGCCUGUUGAUUCAAAAACUGGGGAUGGAGCCCAGCAACAUGUGUUUUAAUAAGUCUUCCAGGGGAUUCUGAUGCUCCAGUCUAAAACAGUACCAUGCUAUUUACUGGGAUUGGUUCAGGGGUGGGCAUUUGAUCCAACUCUUGCUAGUGAGCCAUGACAUCCACUAGGGGAACAUCUGGGAAAAGUGUCCUUGCUCCUAAGUGAAAAUCAAAGGGAGCCAGUUUUUCAUCUUCCUCUGGAAAUUGUGCCUGGAUGCUUGGAAAUGUUGCAGUCAUGUUGCUACAAAGUCAGGAAUGAUAUAACACCAAGAGUGGAAGAGCAGAAAGAUGGAAAACAUUUUGAUUUCUUAAUAACAUCAUUGGAUUACAGCUGGUCCUGAAAUUUAUUCAACCUCUAGACCUCCUACAGAAUCAAGAAAUAACCACGUUGUUAAAGGAUUUGGUAUGAAGAGCACACCAUGCAAAUAAAGAUGAGAAAAGAUA